rnacentral:lncRNA from 1 species
GGAAUUCUGUUUUAAUUGUUUGAAAACAGGAGCUGAGGGGAAGCGUGGUAGGAGAAGAUGCCUGUGCAUGCCGCUCAUGUUUCCAGCAGGGCAAUGUAGAUGCAUGUCAGGAAAGAUGAUUAGAUAGUUUAGAACCAGAUCCUUGUCUGAGAUGGAAACUGCAGCUGCUAAUUAAGAAGAGUAGAGCUCGAGGAAGCCGCCAGCUGCCAGCCUGGUGCUGCCUCUCCUGCAAGUGUGAAGUGUGGCUGCAUCCAGAAGCACUGGUGAGCAGGGCUUUGCUUGGCCUGUGGAGUGUAAGAUGCUGGCCCAGAAGGAACUUCAUGCUCUGUUUUUCCUGGGGGUUCGCCUCUGAUCACAUGCCCAGGGCUUACUUCUGCUUGGACGUCUGGCACUGCUGAGGGGGUGGGCACUUGGGGGCACAGGGCUCCUGGCACUUGGGUGGGGGCUGGCAAGGCUGCUUGGUCUGUUGGGGUGGGGGGCAGUACUGCUGAGGUGGAGGGCAGCACUGCUGGGGUGGGGGACAGCACUGCUGGGGAGGGGGGCAGCAUUGUUGAGGCGGCGGGCAGCACUGCUGGGGCGGGGGGCAGCACUGCUGGGGUGGGGGGCAGCGCUGCUGGGGUGGGGGGCAGCACUGCUGCGGGGGAGCACACUGCUUCUGCUUCUGCUGAGACAUUCUGGGCUGGACUUGCAACUGGAAACAGAAAGACACAGAAAUGAGGAACACUUGAGCCAUAGAGAGACCCUAAGCCCAGGUGAACCCCCUGCCACAUUCCUGUCCUGCUCUGCUUUUACCUUGCCCUGAUCCCUUCACAGAUUUAAGAGGAGUGUGUGUGUGUGUGUGCGCGCGCGCAUGUGUAAACUUUAAGUGUUUACAAGUUAUUUCAACUCUUUUCAAGACAAAGAAACAUGGAAGGAAGGAAAGAUAGGAAAGGAGGAAGGGAGGGAAAACAGAAAUGUUAGGAGGGGUUGAAAAGAAAGAAAAACAUAAAAAAAGAAAAGGGAGAGAGAGGAAAAAAAAGAGGAAGAAUGAAAGAGCAGACUGUUGUAUCCUAUUAUAGCAAAACCUGUGGCAUCUGGAAUAAAUUGCCUGGGAUCUGAGUUCUGGCUAAAUCAUUUAUUAACUAUAUGAUUUUGAGCAACUAAGGUUUUCCAUACUUACCUCUCUUAGAGUUGGUGCAAAAAUUAAAUGAGUAUAUAAAAUACAUACUUAAAAUAUGCAUGCAUACGUAGGUAUGUAUGUACCGACACACACAUGCAGAGUAGUAGCACAAAAUGAACACUAUAUAAGAGUUGUAAUUUGUUAAGUAAAUUCAUAAACAAUUUAAAAGGCGCAUCUUAACCACUCUCUAAAGGAGUUUAUAAAGAGAAAACUCUAGAGAUAGAUGAAAUGGACUAUCUAGCUUGCCUCUCUCAAUUACAGUUGAGGAAAGCAAACCUCAGAGGGAAGGAAUGGCUUCAAAGCCACUCGGCAUAGAUGGUGGGAAAAGAGGUCUCCUGAUUCCCAGAGCAGAGCCUUCCAUGGUGCCACAUCGUCUUGUCCCUGCAGCCCUUUGCUCCAUGGACAUCCACAACUCUGCUGUCCCAAGGGAGUCUGUUCUCUUUCCUUCCUGCCUUCUCUUUUCUUUGAAAGGACAGUCCUUCCAGUUGCUCUGCCCAGAACUGGUCUCUCCUCUCCUACUAAUUCCCUCUUAGCACCUGACAAGAUGCAACACCCACACCAUGCCAGCAGCAUCGCUGAGAUACUGACCCUCUUGUAGAUACCCCCCUCCUUCUCCCUGCUCAGCCCAGCCUCCCACACUACUCUGCUGGAUAACUUGCUGGACCCAAGAUAGGUUUGUCACAAAUGAUAUGGAAAAAAGAGGUACCCCAAAAGACCCAUCCUUUCUGACCACCACCCAGAGAAUCAGCCCAGUCCAUAGUUGGUUAGGGAUGCAGGCAAGGCAAGGCUGCUAUAAGAGGUACUACCUUUCCAGACUUACCAAGGUUCACCAGCGACUGGAGCAGAUAG